rnacentral:snoRNA from 1 species
AAGACUAUACUUUCAGGGAUCAUUUCUAUAGUUUGUGACUAGAGAAGUUUCUCUGAACGUGUAGAGCACUGAAUUUCUUCACAGA